AACGCGUGAGAAUCUGCCUCUAGGACGGGGACAACAGAAGGAAACUUCUGCUAAUCCCGGAUGAGCCGUAAGGUUAAAGAUUUAUCGCCUAGAGAUGAGCUCGCGUCUGAUUAGCUAGUUGGUGUGGUAAAGGCACACCAAGGCAACGAUCAGUAGCUGGUCUGAGAGGAUGAUCAGCCACACUGGGACUGAGACACGGCCCAGACUCCUACGGGAGGCAGCAGUGGGGAAUUUUCCGCAAUGGGCGAAAGCCUGACGGAGCAAGACCGCGUGGGGGAGGAAAGCCUUUGGGUUGUAAACCCCUUUUCUCAGGGAAGAAGAAAGUGACGGUACCUGAGGAAUCAGCCUCGGCUAACUCCGUGCCAGCAGCCGCGGUAAUACGGAGGAGGCAAGCGUUAUCCGGAAUGAUUGGGCGUAAAGCGUCCGCAGGUGGCUCUUCAAGUCUGCUGUCAAAUCCAGUAGCUUAACUCCUGAUGGGCAGUGGAAACUGAGCAGCUAGAGUGCGGUAGGGGCAGAGGGAAUUCCCGGUGUAGCGGUGAAAUGCGUAGAGAUCGGGAAGAACACCGGUGGCGAAAGCGCUCUGCUGGGCCGCAAC
rnacentral:rRNA from 1 species